rnacentral:rRNA from 1 species
GAUGAACGCUGGCGGCGUGCCUAAUACAUGCAAGUCGAGCGAACAGAUGAGGAGCUUGCUCCUCUGACGUUAGCGGCGGACGGGUGAGUAACACGUGGAUAACCUACCUAUAAGACUGGGAUAACUACGGGAAACCGGAGCUAAUACCGGAUAAUAUAUUGAACCGCAUGGUUCAAUAGUGAAAGACGGUUUUGCUGUCACUUAUAGAUGGAUCCGCGCCGCAUUAGCUAGUUGGUAAGGUACGGCUUACCAAGGCAACGAUGCGUAGCCGACCUGAGAGGGUGAUCGGCCACACUGGAACUGAGACACGGUCCAGACUCCUACGGGAGGCAGCAGUAGGGAAUCUUCCGCAAUGGGCGAAAGCCUGACGGAGCAACGCCGCGUGAGUGAUGAAGGUCUUCGGAUCGUAAAACUCUGUUAUUAGGGAAGAACAAAUGUGUAAGUAACUAUGCACGUCUUGACGGUACCUAAUCAGAAAGCCACGGCUAACUACGUG